CAGACACCUCAGCAGGAGCCAAAUCCCAGAUCUGAAGCCAAAAAUCACUUUCUGGGUUUUUAGGAGAGAAGAACCUCGCCAUCCUCCUCACGCUGGGAUCAGACCCGCUCCACGAGCUCUACACGUCCAGUAAAAGAUUCGUUCAGUCGUCCGCUGCCCGUCAAGUUGACGCAACGUUUGACCGGAGAUCGCCGACUACACAACCCUUCGCUUCAACUUCGUCCUGGAGAAAACCGAAAUUCCUCAUUACAUGACCUCACAUUGAUGUAGUGGUCAGCGGUUUGACUUGAUGACUCAAAAGAAAAUGAUUCUGACUCACGUUGUGUUCGGGUUAAAGAAUUUGCACACUGCCCUCUGCAGGUGAGGUGUGAACAGAAAUCAGGAAAAAAUUCAAGAAUCACAGAAUCAACGAUUUGGAGCGUUAUUUUGAGAAUGUAUGUCGAAUUGAAACCAUCGAAAUGAAUGAAAAAGCCGAAUGAAUGAAACAUUAAUACGGAAGUCCUAAGAGGCUCUGCGUUCUGCUUUUUUCUUUCUUGGGAUCGCGACUUCAUUUUCUCAUGAGCUCGACAUAACAAAAGUUGUUUUCUCGUGGUCACAACUUCAUUUUCUCAAAGUGCCCAAAUGAUCAUGGUUAUUAUUCAUUCAGGAAACAAUGUUUGUGAUGUCGACAUCACGAGAAAACUAGAAAGAAAAAAAUAUUAGAAUGCAUGUCCUCUCAGGACUUCAGUACAUUACAAUGCUUUCAAAUAAAAAAAUAAAAUAAAAAAUUGAAAUAAUAGGA